AUCAAAUACCACCCACGCCACAGCGUAGAAAGAGCUGAUUCAGCUUUUGGUGACUCUUCGGUCUCAACCUUUCUCCUAUAAUCGCUAAGCUUGUUUUUAAUCAAUGUUUAACUUCUUGAUUAAUUUCCUUGAUUUCUAAGGGCAGUUUUUCACAACUGAGAUAAUGUGUUCUAAAUGCUUGCUGAGCUGUUGGUGCACUGGAAACUGUAAACACUUCAGACUGCUUUUUGUCUCCCUAAUGCUCUCCCUUAUUAUGUGGGCUUGCAGCGCCUAUAAAUUUAGUCUUUAUUCUCUCUGCCAUCUGCAUAAUUGCCAGUGUUUAAAGAACCUCGCUUCUCCCUUUCUUUGCCACUGGGGAAAGAAUUGUUUGUUCAGCCUUCACUAAAUUAGUAUUUUUCUGGCUUCUUAUCUCUCAUGUCUUGAAGAGUNNNNNNNNNNNNNNNNNNNNNNNNNNNNNNNNNNNNNNNNNNNNNNNNNNNNNNNNNNNNNNNNNNNNNNNNNNNNNNNNNNNNNNNNNNNNNNNNNNNCACUAAAUUAGUAUUUUUCUGGCUUCUUAUCUCUCAUGUCUUGAAGAGUGGUAUGUAAUUAAUUCUGAAACUUUGAUGGUUUUCACAUUACUCACUGCCUUCUCCUUGGCAAUUCACCUGCUUUCUACUUUCUUUCUCUCAGAUCUAUUUACAUCGGGGUUGGGGUGGGGUGGGGGACUUCUCACUCACAUCUUAAUUCCAUUUGCUUUUUAAAAGGUUUUGUGGUUCUUUGGAAGAAGAGAAUGUUAUCUGCUGUCGUAGAGCCUAACUGCCGGCUCCUUUGUCAUUUUGCCUGUGCUUCCUGGGCUACAUCCCCCAUCCUUGGGAUGCAGGUAUUGGACUUGGAGGCGCCGGGUAAUCCCAUAAUGGAACCACACUUAAAAGCCGGACAGCUUCCUCAGAGUACUGUUGCUCUAAUACAUUUCCAUUACUGGCAUUUGUCAAUAUGGUACUGAGACAGCGAAGCUAUGGGGAGGAUAUUUGAAAAUGGGAGAAAAGACCAGGUUGAUAUGAAUCUUGGCAGAUUUUUCCCCAGUGUUUCUUUGCCCUCCUGCCAUACCCUCAAACAGAUUUCCUUAUUUAAUAUUUUAUUUAUUUUCUGCUCUCUGUCCUUAUUGCUAUUUCUUAUAAUAGCAAGUGAUUUAAACCGGAGGCUCUGUAAUAGGAUUUGCCAAUCACUCAUACACACUGGUUUUUAAACAUAAAUUGAAGAAUGCUGUACAUACUGUUGUACGUCUUUAUUUUUUCACUUAAACCUUUAACUUGAAGAUUAUUCCAAUCCCUCCCCUGUUCUUUUGUUUUGCAAAAAGUAAUAUCAGGUAGUGCAUUACCAUUUUCCCUUAGCAAUAUACAGCUAUCCUGUUUCCUUGCUUAAAAAUGACUACUUUAACCUGAUGUUCCUAAUUUUCCAUUUUAGGAUCCUAUCUUGAGUAUCAGUAACUCCCCUUGUAGUUGCUAGGUGCUCCAUAACUAUCUAUGGACUGGACUUGAACUGAUGCAUUUUAUGCAGAGAGGUAAAUAAUAGAUUUGAGUAGUCAGAGGCGGGGUUUAGAUUCUAAGCAUCCAAAGGCUUGCAAGGUUUUUACAGAGCCUCAUUCUUCCUGUUGCUUUAUUUCUUUAGAACAACCAGAAUUAUUUUCAAACCUCUCAUCAGAGUGGUGGUGAGUGUUCUCAUCACAGCAGGGUAGGUGGGAGGGAAACUGAUCCUUUGGGUCAGCACUGACAUAUAAUUUAGAUUUUUUUCUCUCUGAAAUGAUUUGGGUAUAGACUUGCCAGGAAGCUGCAGGUUGGACUAAAUGCUCUCUUGAGGCCUUUGCCAACCAUAUGGUUUUAUAAUUCAUGGUAAAAUGUUAGAAUGACUAAUUCACACUUACUUUAAAAUAAAGUCAGAGAACGAUGCAGAUAUGAAAGGAAGUUACCCUGUGACCCUAAGUGCUUACAGUCAGACUUUCUUUCACAAGUGGAUAAGACUACCCCUUGAGUAUCAUGUUAUUUUAAUAGCUCUGAGGUCAUAAGUUUUGAAGUGUGAAUCAGAUCCUAUUACUCCCCAUUUAUAAUGCUCCAGAGCCUCCUGCUUGCAAAUCUCCGUUUCCAUCCAAACCCUUAUUGUAGCUCUACAUUUGCACCUCUUCACCACCCAGGACUCUGUUCAUCCCGGUCUACAUCUCACUCACCCUCAGUGGCAUCAUAGGAUUCCCUAAAGCAGCUGCUCU
rnacentral:lncRNA from 1 species